UACGUAGGGGGCUAGCGUUGUCCGGAAUCAUUGGGCGUAAAGAGCGUGUAGGCGGUCCGGUAAGUCCGCUGUGAAAGUCGGGGGCUCAACCCUCGAAUGCCGGUGGAUACUGUCGGGCUAGAGUGCGGAAGAGGCGAGUGGAAUUCCCGGUGUAGCGGUGAAAUGCGCAGAUAUCGGGAAGAACACCCGUGGCGAAGGCGGCUCUCUGGGACGGUACUGACGCUGAGACGCGAAAGCGUGGGGAGCGAACAGG
rnacentral:rRNA from 1 species